UACGUAGGGGGCAAGCGUUGUCCGGAUUUAUUGGGCGUAAAGAGCGUGUAGGCGGCUAGGUAGGUCCGUUGUGAAAACUCGAGGCUCAACCUCGAGACGCCGAUGGAAACCAUCUAGCUAGAGUCCGGAAGAGGAGAGUGGAAUUCCUGGUGUAGCGGUGAAAUGCGCAGAUAUCAGGAAGAACACCUAUGGCGAAGGCAGCUCUCUGGGACGGUACUGACGCUGAGACGCGAAAGCGUGGGGAGCGAACAGG
rnacentral:rRNA from 1 species